rnacentral:rRNA from 1 species
GACGAACGCUGGCGGCGUGCUUAACACAUGCAAGUCGAACGGAAAGGCCCUGCUUGCAGGGUACUCGAGUGGCGAACGGGUGAGUAACACGUGGGUGAUCUGCCCUGCACUUCGGGAUAAGCCUGGGAAACUGGGUCUAAUACCGGAUAGGAGCCAUUUUUAGUGUGAUGGUUGGAAAGUUUUUUCGGUGUAGGAUGAGCUCGCGGCCUAUCAGCUUGUUGGUGGGGUAAUGGCCUACCAAGGCGGCGACGGGUAGCCGGCCUGAGAGGGUGGACGGCCACAUUGGGACUGAGAUACGGCCCAGACUCCUACGGGAGGCAGCAGGGGGGAAUAUUGCACAAUGGGCGCAGGCCUGAUGCAGCGGGGCCGCGUGGGGGAUGACGGCCUUCGGGUUGUAAACUCCUUUCGCUAGGGACGAAGCUUUUUGUGACGGUACCUAGAGAAGAAGCACCGGCUAACUACGUG